rnacentral:miRNA from 1 species
AUGUGGCCUUGUUGGAGGACAUGUGUCACUGGGAAUGGGCUUUGAGGUUUCAGAUGCUCAAGCCAGGCCCAGUGUCAUUUCCUCUGCCUGCUGCCUGCUGAUC